UCCAUAAACAUGUCAGUGUAUCAAACAUAAGUUAUUCCAGCUAGUGCAAGCAGUUAAGCACAUUGACUCAUUGUUCAUCCAUAAGCAUGUCCAGAGACUUCGGUACUAUUGGAUGAGAAUGGUAUGCAUUGGUGCUAUGCUCUCUUUCGGAGGGGAAGAUGUGCUGGGUCUCUAUAUGGCUUCGUCUCUUGGAGACUUACCUUUUGCCAUGAAGGAAAACAAAGAGUGGAAGAUUUCAGCCUGUGGGUCUUUUCAUAGACUCUCAGUUUGGAAGUCCUCAUCCACUUUCCUUUUGGUCUGCUCCACCUGGUUGUGUGAAACAGAAAAUCAAUAGCUCUUCGUAAGGGAAACCUGGUCCCUGUUUCAUUGGGGGUGUUCUCCGUGAUCACAGAGGUUUAUACAUGUGUGUCCUUUCUAAGUGAAGCAAAUUUGGUUGCCUAUUGUUUAGCUAACCAGGGUCACUCUCGCAUGUCUUCACAGCUUUUUUUUUUUAGAAUUGUCUGGAUUUUGCGGUGUCUUUGUUGAUCUGAUAUGAUUUUAGUCUGUUUUGGUCCUUAUUACGGUGAGGAGGUUGCUGCUUUACGUCGGGUCUUGUGGGGAAUGUCUGUUGGCAUGGGCUAGGUUGCAGCUUUCCUCAUCUUCUGUAUCUUCUUUUUCUUUAAUGAAAUUUCUUGCUAAUAAAAAAAAUUCAAAAAGAAAAUCAAUUACCAAUUAA